ACCAGGAAGUAAGUACAAACCAUUGGAUAAACUUUGUUUGUUUAACGCCCCACUCAGUAAUAUAACUGAUAUGCGACGGUGGUAUGUAAGAAAUGUAAUCUAUAACAGGCAAUCCAGUGGUCAAGGUCUCAUGCCGUCGGAUUAUGCAAACAACCACCUCAAUGAGCCUGAUUACCUGAAACAGGUCAAGGUGCUUCGUCCACAUUAAUCCAGACAAAAGAUCAAAGGUUGCAAGGGAAAAAGAAAGAAGACAGUCAUGUGUGUGAAAGUUCUCAAGCUCAUCAGUGAAGUUGCAGACUUUGAAUUGAUCGAGGCCUGAGUGGGCAGAGUCUUGCUACAAUAAUGACAGAUCUUGUCGAUUGGCAUUAAGGGACUGGCCAUACAUACAAGUAGGGGGAGGGGGUGGAUGUUGGGGAAGUGGGAAUAUGUGCAGUUGAUACGAGAAGUGCCAACAGAAGAGAAGAAAUAAAUAAUUUUAUGUUCAUUUCAUGGUUUUGUUUUUGUUUUGGUUUUUUACACUUACCUACAUCGGGCAUGAGCUGUUGCUUUCAUCUUUCAUCAAGUGAAAGCAUACAUAUGGGACAUUCUCCAGUUAUAUUCUUAUAUUAUGUGAACAACCAUUAAUCCCAAUGAACUACUUUCAGAUGUUGAGUAUUGUGUCACCUACAGGGAGUUGUCUGUCCUAUGCUUGGAUGUAUUUCUUGUUUUAAUAAAAUUGCUUAAAACUU